rnacentral:misc_RNA from 1 species
GUUGGAAUACAAAUAGCAGCGCCGCCCACAGAAGGAGAAGCAAACGCAGAACUCGUGAAAUAUCUGUCCAAACUUUUAGGAUUACGGAAAAGUGACGUAUCGCUGGAUAAGGGAUCUCGGUCCCGCAAUAAAUUAGUAAUGCAAUCACUGUCAUAGGCAUCGUCUUUAAUCCAACCAAACAGAAAGUAUCCAACUGUAAGACCUAACAGAAUUGAUAGGCACAACCAGUAAUUGAAACUCAUAAAUAUCAACAUAAGUAGCAUAGAUAAUGUAACUUGAAAUAAGAACAAUAAGAUAUCUUUUCAAGUUCCCUACGAAGGAGGAACUGUCGCAAAAACUUGACACCUUCAUAUAAGAAUGCCAAAAGGAAAAUAGCAAUCGCAGACAAUGAAAAUUCUAAAAUUGUCGUUGCGGACCAAGCCUUCCAAAGAAUUUGCUCGCAAUGCCCACCAUGAAACUGAAAAUAAGUCAGCAAAUAAGCAUUGUAGUAUUACACAAAUCAUUUCAACUUACGAGCAUCAUAUGCGGACAAGAAAUUUCCAUCUUAUCGCCACCAUGGCCGUGAUGACCUUCGGACAUCCUAAGUAUACUCCUUGCUCUCAAUGUAGAUAAAUAAAAUUCAAUAUUUUUGAUUAAA